GUUUAGAUCCGAGAGGAGCAGCAGGAGCAGCCGAGAGGAGCGAUCAUUCCUCCACCGAUAGAGAGUUCAGUCUGUCCAGGAGGAGUCGAGGUUGUUACUCGCUGCAGCCUGAGACACUAACUUCCUCCAGAGAUUAAUAAAGAUGAUGCGUGGCUGUAAUCUCAUCAACCUGGAAGGUAAGUAUCAUUUAUUUUAUUGAUUCAAGAGGAGGCGAAAUUUGAUCUGUGAGAAAAAAAACCGAAGUGUAUAUUUGCAGAGUGUUAUUGACUGCAGAGAGAGGAGAUAUCGAUGAUGCUAAAUGGUUAACUGACACGGUUCAGUCGGCUGCAGGAGAACUACGGAGUGUUUAACCCGGUUCACAUUAUAACCUCGUCUCGUGGUCGCUACAGCAGUCUGCAUGUAACCAAAUGUAUUUGAAUUUUUUAAUAAAUAUAAUAACAUUUUUUAUGAAGUCUUUAUGAAGAGAAAAAAUAUAACCAUAUAUGACCAUAUAACCUUAUGCUUCAUUUACACUAUAGGUUGCAUCCAAAAUAUUAUUUAUAAUAUACGAUAUAUUAUAUAAUAUUUGGAAAUAUUAUUUUGGAUAUGAAAUAAUUGUCGUUGUAUGGAGUUAAUCAUGGAUUAAUUACAGGUUUACGUGUCGUUAUUUCGUUUUUUUCAAAUGUAAUGUGACAAUAUCUCAAAUGAAACUGCUCUAUAAUAACGAUUAUUCGAUUUGACACAUUUUCAAGAAUGUUUUUUUAAAAAGUAAAUAGUUGCUAAUUUUUCCCUUUUCCUCUAAUCAGUCCAACACGCCCAAUAGUGCCACACAAUAAUAAUAAUAAUAAUAAACAAACUAAUUUGUUUGCUCCGCUUUUGCGCAUGAUUAUACACGUUUAAUAAUUGAAUUACAUACAGAAAUAAAACCAAAAACAUUUCGUUGUUUAAUUAUUGUUUAAAAAUAUGUAUUUAAUUUGUAGAUUCCUCGAAAUUAUUAUUUGUUAUUAUUAGUGCUAUUAUUAAGAUUUAAGUUAAUAUUACUGCAUAUUAUCUCAGCUUAACGUUUAUCAUUAUUUAUUCUCGACUAAACAAAUUAUUUACCGCCCAUACAAUGGUUAAUAUUAAAAAUAUAAAUAUUAUAAUAAUAAUUAUUAUUAUUAGUAAUAGUUUUAUUGUUUUUGUUAUUAUUAACAAAAAUACGAAAUUCUAAUUAAAGUCUAAUUAAAUUAAGGUAUAUUUUGACAUCCACAGGUUAGAAUUAAUUGUUCUAUUCGGACAUAAUAUAAAAAUAGUGUAGGUUUCUGUAUGAACGGUUCCCCAAUUUCUUUUUUUUUUCAUUCAUUUAUUUCUAACCUUAUGAGCGUGAAAGAGAAAUAGGAUUUAAAAAAAUAUUUCCUCUGUCUUCAUGAAAGUCUAUAGAAUAAUGAUUUGUCACUGUACUGGUGUCGUCCUCCCAUCGCCUCCCAUUAGGUGUCUAAAGAUAAUAAUAAUAAUGUCUGUGAUGCUUCUGGAGAUUUAAGGAGUCCGCCGCGCGCACAGCUACAAAAGGGCAGCUCGCGCUUAACCACCUGCUUCCUCACCUGUUCACUCAGGAGAGAACUCACGCAGCUAUUUGAAUUCAGAUUAAAAAGUUAAAGAUUUUUUUUUUUUUUUAAAUCAACAAU